rnacentral:tRNA from 1 species
GGGGUUGUGGGGUAGCUUAGUCAGCCUUCGAGCCUCGGGUGCUCGCGACCCCGAUGCGAAUCCGGGCAAUCCCA